CCAUGGUACAAUAUGUACUAGGGUAUAUAACCGUGGUACUUGUACCACCAGUGUGUCUUUAGUAUAAAUUAACUACUUAAUUGUUGAAAAUACUAUGCUGCCAAUGGACCAUGGUAUUAUUAAUGGUGAAAAAUGGUACUGCUGUCAGAGAGAAAACUCAGUGGAAGACGCCAUUACGCUUUGCUGGUGCCGGUGAUAUGGAGAUAAAACAUUAAUAUAAUACAUUUAGAAUAGGGUUUUGAAAACUAGAUUUGCAUAUAUUUCUCAUGAAAACUUUUACGCCCGAAUCAUGGCUUAUAUUUAUACCAUAAAGUUGUUAGUUACCUAUAUUAACGCCGAUCAAAUCAUCAAUGAAAAACCCUGGAUGUUUCCUCAUCGAAUCGUAUCACCAAGUGCUGCAACAAUGUUUCCGGAGAAUUCGAUGGAACAGCAAGUUAUGCAGAUGACAACCGUAUCCGAUAAAAUGUAUUCACCACAAGAACAUCAAUCAGCAUGGUCCACCCAAAAGUGAAUAAUUUUCAUCAGUGUUGUCUAAAAUAAAAAACUAUGUAUAAAGAAGUUGAAAAAAAUCUAA